GGGGGGGAGGGGGGAGUCUAAAAUUCACUGGUCCAAGGUUACCUGCUGCUAAAGUCAAGAUUCCUAACCCUCUUCUCCAUUCCAGUGAUUUUAAAACCACAGUGGUGCCACACACACUUUUAUACAGAUCUCACUUUUAAAAUCUAUUUUUAAUUCCCUUUAAAACUGGACUUAAAGGCUUCAAACGAUAUACACCAAAGUCAGUACACUGGAGUGCACCACCAACUUCUUAACCUACUCUUGCCAGAAUAACCAACUAUGCAAAAUUUGGAAUAAAUCCAUUCCUGUGAAGUAGCCAGAGAUACAAAGCAAGCUGUUUAAAACAAAACAAUAACAGUAUCUAUUUAUCUGUGUAAAUCAGGAUUUUUUUUGACACUGGGCAAGUAUAACAAACUACAGAAAUAUACUGAAUGUUGGAUUCACCAUCAUUCUCACCAACUGAACUUUUUAAGUAAACGCUAUACGCUUGGAUUUGUAAGUGUUAUUGCAUAAGUGGGAUCCUGCAUUAUUAAAGCGUUCCACACUAGGAAAGGUGUGAAAACCACAGGUGCCUGUGAUCUGAGGCCUGUUAAAGGCCUGAACUGACACUGGUGUCUUUACCCAGAAUGCUGAUUUGAAGAAAAAUAUAUUAAGCAAACCACUAUCAAAAGUAAGGCUUCUCACAUUACAAAGCAAACAACGAGUAUGCUUCAGCCAUAAUUUUUAAACACAAAUUUACAUACCCCAGAGACCUUUUACUUACAACUUGAGGUCCUCAGACUUAUAAGAGUGAUGCUCCUCACCCCGGGAA
rnacentral:lncRNA from 1 species